GAGGAGAAUCAUUCGCAAUGGGCGCAAGCCUGACGGUGCGACGCCGCGUGUGGGAUGAAGGCCUUCGGGUUGUAAACCACUGUCAGGAGUAUGGAACGCUGGGAAAGAUAACAUCUUUUCCAGGUGACUAAGGCUCCAAAGGAAGCCACGGCUAACUACGUGCCAGCAGCCGCGGUAAUACGUAGGUGGCGAGCGUUACUCGGAAUCACUGGGCAUAAAGGGCGUGUAGGCGGAUGCGUAAGUCCGGUGUGAAAGCCCCCGGCUCAACCGGGGAAGGCCAUUGGAUACUGCGUGUCUUGAGUGCGGAAGGGGAGAAUGGAACUCUUGGUGGAGCGGUGAAAUGCGUAGAUAUCAAGAGGAACGCCGGUGGCGAAAGCGGUUCUCUGGUCCGUAACUGACGCUGAGGCGCGAAAGCUAGGGGAGCAAACGGGAUUAGAAACCCUAGUAGUCC
rnacentral:rRNA from 1 species